GGUAACUGUAGAAGGCAUGUGCGUAAGCCAGUGACAGAGCUGGGAUUGAGGCCUCAUGAGCGCUGAGGAAGCUCAGAAAACUACUCAGCUACAAAUCUUACAAAUCUUAAGAAAAAAUGUGGAUGACUCAGAAAGUAGAACUAACAUUCCAGAGGACAGACCCCGAAGAUAUGGAGACUUAUUUUGAUAAGAACAAGCAAAGCUCUCCCACACUGCUAAACAGUUCCAGAACAAUCUCCCUUGCGGUCACUCACAAAUUCCCAUAAAGUGUUAGCAGCUCUGGAACCUGAACUCAGGAGGAAUGGCAAUCCAGAAGAAAAAACAGCUGGG